rnacentral:rRNA from 1 species
UACGAAGGGGGCUAGCGUUGUCCGGAUUUAUUGGGCGUAAAGAGCGUGUAGGCGGCCAGGUAGGUCUGGUGUGAAAACUCGAGGCUUAACCUCGAGAUGUCAUCGGAAACCAUCUGGCUAGAGUCCGGAAGAGGAAAGUGGAAUUCCUGGUGUAGCGGUGAAAUGCGCAGAUAUCAGGAAGAACACCAAUGGCGAAAGCAGCUUUCUGGGACGGUACUGACGCUGAGACGCGAAAGCGUGGGGAGCGAACAGG